GUGCAGCAGGCGCGAAAACUUUACAAUGCGGGAAACCGUGAUAAGGGGACACCGAGUGCUAGCAUCAUAUGCUGGCUGUCCAGGUGUGUAAAAUACACCUGUUAGCAAGGGCCGGGCAAGACCGGUGCCAGCCGCCGCGGUAACACCGGCGGCCCGAGUGGUGAUCGUGAUUAUUGGGUCUAAAGGGUCCGUAGCCGGUUUGGUCAGUCCUCCGGGAAAUCUGAUAGCUCAACUAUUAGGCUUUCGGGGGAUACUGCCAGACUUGGAACCGGGAGAGGUAAGAGGUACUACAGGGGUAGGAGUGAAAUCUUGUAAUCCCUGUGGGACCACCUGUGGCGAAGGCGUCUUACCAGAACGGGUUCGACGGUGAGGGACGAAAGCUGGGGGCACGAACCGGAUUAGAUACCCGGGUAGUCC
rnacentral:rRNA from 1 species